rnacentral:rRNA from 1 species
UACAGAGGGGGCAAGCGUUGUUCGGAAUUACUGGGCGUAAAGGGCGCGUAGGCGGCCGCCUAAGUCAGACGUGAAAUCCCUCGGCUCAACCGGGGAACUGCGUCUGAUACUGGGUGGCUUGAAUCCGGGAGAGGGAUGCGGAAUUCCAGGUGUAGCGGUGAAAUGCGUAGAUAUCUGGAGGAACACCGGUGGCGAAGGCGGCAUCCUGGACCGGCAUUGACGCUGAGGCGCGAAAGCCAAGGGAGCAAACGGG